rnacentral:tRNA from 1 species
GGUAAAAUGACUNAAGCAAGUGNAGGGUUGUAACCCCUUUNAUAAAGGUUAAAGUCCUUUUUUUAUCA